rnacentral:lncRNA from 1 species
CAGGAAGCCCAGUUACAAGACAAAGAACAAAAGUCCUGGGGGAACGUCACCAGCAGAGUCAUCUCCACACAUGCAAAGGUCCCUUCUGCCUUUUUUUUUUUCCCCUUUGAAAUUUCAAAUUCCAGUUUGUGGACAAAGUCCUGCCUAUCUGAGAAUAUAGAUCUCCGACCACUGACCAAACUCCAGUCCAAGCAGUCCCGAGGACUGCUCUUCCCCUUGCCCACAGAUGCCUCUGCUCAGUCCUUGGAUCUGCCAGGAUUGUGCUGAAAUUUUGCACUGGAGCACAGCACUGGUACUUGCACAAAGAGGAUUUUUCACUUAAUGUCAGCAGCUCCCUUUCUGGGAAGGACCAUCAGGAAUAACCAGGAGUGUGCAGAGUGCCUGAACAGCCUGUGUUGUCCCCAGUGUCCCAGUUGCCAGAGCACAGCAAGGAGUCCCCGAUGUUCCAGGGCUGGCAAGAGGCUGCUCCCAUUAGAGCCAGAUGCAAGUGGGCAGAGUAACUUCAUCUUAAGUGAUUAAAGGGCUUGUCCAGCUCCUUGCAUUGCUUCUGUCAGGCAAAGCUGGCUGCUCACUACAGAAAUGAGGCUGGCUUUGCACCCUGGGGCAAAGCUGGACACAGGCACCCUGGAUGUGGGGGCAGCCAGAUCCAGCCAUCCUGCACUACCAUGUCUCCCAGGCUGAUGGGAACAGCCCUUGAGCCUCCCCUUCUCUUGCAAAGGACCACCACUGGCUCUCCAAGUCAGUCCCAGGAAGCUGGGUGGGCCAGGAGCCAUCUCCCAUCAGCAGCAGGGGCUUCAGCACAGAGGAUGCUCAACACUCACUGCUCCUGGGCCAGGAUCUGACACUCAGCACAUCUCAGAAACAUCAAGCCCUUGUUCCACCUGUUCACAAGCAUCUUGCAUUACAUGGCUCCUUGCACGUUGUCCAAGAAGCACCAGCUGGACACAAAGCCACGACCUGCACUGAACAGACCAAAAACUGGGCAUUUUUCUGAGUCCAGCUUUGUGUGAGGCCCAGUCCCAGUUCUGUAUCCUGCAGCUCAGAGGGCAGGGUGAACGGAGGUCCUCCAGGGACCUGGCUCCUGUGGGCCUGGGAUGCACAAAUGAGCAACCUGAUAAAAACAGGCUAAAACUCAGCAUUUCAUAACUGCUUGACCACAGCUACCUGGUCCAGCCCAGCACAGUGACACUACUACAGACCCUGUGCAGUUCCUACAUGUUUCUAUUGCCACAGGCCAUGGAUCCACCAAAAUGCUGAUGAGCCCAUGGCUCACCAUGGGGAGAUGUGAUCUGAAAUAAAGUGAUCUGCAGAGUACUGAAGUGUUGGGGA